GAAUCCCGUCUUUGGCACGGAUGUACCGGGGCUUUUGCGAUGCGCUCUCGAAGAGUCGAGUUGUUUGGGAAUGCAGCUCAAAAUGGGUGGUGAACUCCAUCUAAAGCUAAAUAUUGGCGAGAGACCGAUAGCGAACAAGUACCGUGAGGGAAAGAUGAAAAGCACUUUGGAAAGAGAGUGAAACAGUACGUGAAAUUGUUGAAAGGGAAACGCUUGAAGUCAGUCGCGUCGACCGAGACUCAGCCUCGCCUCGGCUUGGUGUACUUCUCGGCUGACGGGUCAGCAUCAAUUUUGCCCCUUGGAUAAUGGCGAGGGAAAUGUGACACCUUUGCGGUGUGUUAUAGUCUCUCGUCGCAUGCAAGGGUCGGGAUUGAGGAACUCAGCACGCGCCUUUGGGCGUCGGGGCUUUGCCCACGAUACGUGCUUAGGAUGCUGGCGUAAUGGCUUUAAACGACCCGUCUUGAAACACGGACCAAGGAGUCUAACAUGCCUGCGAGUGUUCGGGUGGAAAACCCGUGCGCGCAAUGAAAGUGAAAGUUGGGACCUCUGUCGUGGAGGGCACCGACGCCCGGACCAGACCUUCUGUGACGGUUCUGCGGUAGAGCAUGUAUGUUAGGACCCGAAAGAUGGUGAACUAUGCCUGAAUAGGGUGAAGCCAGAGGAAACUCUGGUGGAGGCUCGUAGCGAUUCUGACGUGCAAAUCGAUCGUCAAAUUUGGGUAUAGGGGCGAAAGACUAAUCGAACCAUCUAGUAGCUGGUUCCUGCC
rnacentral:rRNA from 1 species